UAAUAGGUGCAAGGAACCUUC
rnacentral:siRNA from 1 species